UCUGUAGGUUCACAAAGAAUUUUUACUCGCCGUGGGGCUCCCUAUAUAGUGAAGGAUGAUGGUGCAGUCAUUUUGAGUGAAGGGAAACUUUCAAAGAAAGGUGUUGUUGGACCUAGUACUCAUGAGAAACAAGUUUGGGUUCAGAAAUCAUCUUCAGGGUCUUAAAAUAGUUGUGAUAAUGGAUACUCAGUCAGCGCAACAAUUCCCUGAAAAAUUGAGGGGAUUAUUCCUGCUACAUUGAGCUAGGGAUCCGUUUAGGAUAUAUCAUCCUCAACCAAUUCAGGUCAACAUGAGCCUAAGCGCCUUGUAAGAAAGAUGAUCCAGUUGUUGCCUGACGGAGCUUGCAUAAUUGAAGGAAUGCAAAAUCACAGAUCUCCUUGACAUGAUUAUUUACCGAAAAAAGACCGACAUUGUUAACCAUGUUGAUGGGUUAGACCCUUGAAUGGUUUGUCUUUCUUAAUUGUUGAAUAUUUUGGUUUUGGCAAAUGUUUGUGUGUUUAACUGUAUAGUCUUGGUAUUUGCCAUGGGAUGGUAUGCUGGGAAGAGUGAAUCAUUUAGUCCAUUUCAUUGGACAUAUAUAUAGUUGAAUUGUGUA